rnacentral:rRNA from 1 species
GUCGAACGCUUUGUCUUUAACUGAUAUGAAGAGCUUGCUCUGAUUUGGUUCCAUCUGACAAAGAGUGGCGAACGGGUGAGUAACACGUGGGUAACCUACCUCUUAGCAGGGGAUAACAUUUGGAAACAAGUGCUAAUACCGUAUAAUACCAACAACCGCAUGGUUGUUGGUUGAAAGAUGGUUCUGCUAUCACUAAGAGAUGGACCCGCGGUGCAUUAGCUAGUUGGUAAGGUAACGGCUUACCAAGGCAAUGAUGCAUAGCCGAGUUGAGAGACUGAUCGGCCACAAUGGGACUGAGACACGGCCCAUACUCCUACGGGAGGCAGCAGUAGGGAAUCUUCCACAAUGGGCGCAAGCCUGAUGGAGCAACGCCGCGUGUGUGAUGAAGGGUUUCGGCUCGUAAAACACUGUUAUAAGAGAAGAACGGCACUGAGAGUAACUGUUCAGUGUGUGACGGUAUCUUACCAGAAAGGAACGGCUAAAUACGUGCCAGCAGCCGCGGUAAUACGUAUGUUCCAAGCGUUAUCCGGAUUUAUUGGGCGUAAAGCGAGCGCAGACGGUUAUUUAAGUCUGAAGUGAAAGCCCUCAGCUCAACUGAGGAAUGGCUUUGGAAACUGGAUGACUUGAGUGCAGUAGAGGAAAGUGGAACUCCAUGUGUAGCGGUGAAAUGCGUAGAUAUAUGGAAGAACACCAGUGGCGAAGGCGGCUUUCUGGACUGUAACUGACGUUGAGGCUCGAAAGUGUGGGUAGCAAACAGGAUUAGAUACCCUGGUAGUCCACACCGUAAACGAUGAGUGCUAGAUGUUCGA